GGGGCUGUGUCUCAAUUCAGGGUCUGCAUCCUACGUCGGCCGGAUUCGUCGGCCGGUUACGUCACAGCGCCGCGACUCGGCCUGUCCCAAUUCGAAGACUCCUUCAAAUGCGGUCGACGAAUGCGGCCUUCUUUUCGCCUGAAUGAAGGAUGGGUCCGGUGUAUCCUUCAAUAGGUAGCAUUUCCCAAGAUGCCUUGCGGGCCGGCCGGCAGAAAAACUUAAAAACAAUGGCGGACAGUGAAGCGGGAGCUGUCGGAGAGGAUUGCGCAUAUAAAUGUCAGUAUAAACUUGAAAACUGUUAGGUUAAGGACUUUUUGUGAUACAUGAACGUUAUUUUAGUUAGAAAUGUAACAGUAAAAGUGCUUGUAUUGCGGUCUCGGCUCGUAUGUUCGGCCGCGCUCGGUGUCGUACUUCUCCCGCUACGUUUCCCCCUGAUUUUAAUAGAAGUUUGUAUUUUAGGAACAAAAGAGAAAACCAGGGAAUUUAUUAAGCUUAGGGCGGAGAUGGACCACAUCAUCACUGGAGCCAAGUAUUCGGCGGCUGUGGCAUGGAGACUAUUCUGGAGAAAAUGGGCAUCCAGGGGAAGGUGCCAGCGAUGACAAGCUUCUGGAGCUGAUCUGGGAGGACAUGAGGCUGCAGAGGGCACAGGAGAGAAGGAAGAACUUUGACAGCUUUUUACUUUGCUAGAAAAAAAUGGUUAAGGAAGAUUAAACAUGUACAUAUAAAUGAAAUAUCUAAAUAAAAUCAGUUCUGCAUUAAA